GAAAACAUACGCACACAUAAAAAAAACUCCAUCGAUUAUCCAGACAAACUUCAACUACUUUUCUGCGCAACCCAUCCCCCUACCCUGAAAAUCCACUGAACCUCUCUUACCCCUUCAAUCACGUCUGAGUAUCAGUAGCGCCCAGACCUUAUCCCUAUGGAAUCCCCUCAAAUCCUCUAGAAUGCAAGCUCCAAAAUCUCUUUACCUCUGAUAUCUCACAGAGAUUAAGGCUUCAUUGUUGACUGCAGACUCAUGGUUACUUGUUUUGUUGCCCAAAAUCCCAUCUGACUCAGAACCAUCAAUCAAAUUCAGAUUAUUGAGGAUAUAUUUUCAUCUCCUUUCACCUUUGUCAAAUUUGAAUCCCUUCCAUAUCUCAAAGGUUUAAGCUUUGAAAUUCAAAAUUGAUUAUUUUCUUGCUAUAAAUAGCUGCAUCCAAUUUCGUUGAAGACAGAGAAAAACCCAGUUAAAAAACCUCAAGAAAGCCAGUAAACAUUCAUAGCCUUGGAGAUUUAGAAGCUUUUACACAAUCAGAAACUCAAGUUUAAGAUUCAAAAUAGCAUAAACACAACAUAAAUUCAAAGUUCUUCGUGAUUUUCUUUCUUGCCAAUUCAAACCCGAGCUCGAGUUUGGGUUAAAGAGGUUGUGAUCCCACUGAAACCUCGACGUCGGAGCCUCAGUUUUUCUUUCCAACACAAGGUAAAUCAUUUUCCAUCUUAAUUAUGUUAUACUUAAUUUUUGUUAAUUAUUUAGUGUGCAGUUAGCCGGGGUGAUGGCUAUCUGUUUAGAAAGUAUAAAAAAGUGAAACAAAAGUAUUUUUGGGUUUACGAUUACGUGUGUUUGUGACUUGUGAUUUUACUUGAGUAGAUUUUAUCCCAUCCAAUUAUAUUACAUUUAUUUUGGUGAUUCUGGUUUGAGUCUGUCAUUCCCAUUUAUCCGAUCAUGAAUAUAAACAUAAGAUAAAACGGUGUUUGGUCAUCUGAUUUUGUUUAUCAUGUAAUAUGUUAUGACAUAUCUUAAUUCGUGAUUUAGAUUGAAUAAUUUUAAAUAUGAAGUUUUUAUUUGGAAUGGUCUGUUUCCAUUUUGGUUGCCAGUGAAUGCAAAUAUGAACCGGCUAUAUUCCAUGUAAUUAGUUAGGAUAUUAACUGGUGGUUUUGAGCCUGAACACGUGAAGCAAAAAUCUAUUUUCGGCUCUUUGAUUCCCUAAAAUUGGUCAUUUCAUAGGUUUGUUUUGUCUUUAGAUGUGUAAUAAUACGUGGAAUAGAGUUGAUAAUAUGAGAGGUUGUGUUUGGUCGAGAAGUGUAGGACUUAAAAUCCAUCCUCUUAUCCCAUCUCUGCCUCUUUCCAUCCGUCUGUUUUUGUUCUUUGGUACAUGAUCUAUUUUGGCGUCAAGCCAUACUGAUAUUGCUAUCUACUUUCCGGAAAAGCGAGUGUUGGCAAAUCGAGUUCAACAAUACAAUUUAGCCUUGACUGUCCUUUGUUACAAUAUACAGUUGCUUUGCGUCUAAACAUACAAAUUUGCUCUUCCGUCUCACCUUCAUCAUCCUUUCUUUCAUUUUAUUUAGGUUUUGUGAACAUGUUGUUUUGAAAUAAUUUCGAUCAAAAUUUGAGUUGUUGACAUAGACUCUAGAAAACAUGGCUUUUUAUCUGAAUGUGUUUUCUGUGUAUACGUAUGUAUGUCCCUUGACCCGUCAUCGUAUUGUUGUAGAUUACUCGCGAAUAAAAAAUUGAUCAUCUUAAAUUUAUGUGGUUUCGAUGUAUGUGUCUGCUUUAUAUCUAGAAUACGCCAAAUAUAAGGAUUCCAUUUCCCUUUUCGGUGUCUAUCAGUGGAUAUAAGUUGGUGGAGAUAUGGGAAACUAUAUUUUGUUAAUGUGAAAAUCAUCUUAUUUCUCUGUUUCCGGUGAAACUUCGCCGAAACAAGUUGGACCAAGCUGCUAGUUCUCUCUUCUGUUUUUUCUCUGACUGUUCCCCAUCUUAUUCUCUCUCACCUCUCUCAUUUGUUUUCGCACGAUCUCUUUCCACUCACUAUUUUUCUCUCAUUUUCCCUGUUUUUUUUGCGUGUUUUUUUUCUAUUUCAUACUAUUUUCUUUUCUUGCUUUUCUACUGGUUUUGCCUAAGUUUAUUUGUGUGUAUUAGUAUGAGUGGGAAUGGAGGAGUAUGUGGGCGUGUGAGUGUAAUGUGGUAUGUGUUGGCAUAGUUGUGUGCGUGAGUUUUUCUCCAGUGAGUGUGAGUGUUUGUUGGUGAGUGUAUUGUUGUCUUUGUUGAAUUAAGGAGUAAUGUGAAUCACCUAGUUUCGUUUUGUUUGUGACUAUGGGGCUGCUCGUCUUUCAAAAUUCUUUAGAGUGUUUUCCAUCGAUGGACCCAAAAGACGUCUAGGAGUCGGUCUAGCCGAGUCACGUGUUUCCCUUUCAGCCAAUUGCGUUUUAAGGGCAAAUUAACUGUCAUUAUUCAAGUUCAAAAUUUAGUACUUCUUAGACUUGUGUUGUAUAAAUAAGAUAAGUGGUCAGGAGUCUCUUAAAAUUGGUGUUUGAUUCAUAUUUCUACAUGAACAUGUGUUGUCCUUUGUAGUUUUUAUUUUCCUCAAUUUGUGAGUUUCUCUGUUUGGGUCUAGAGCUCUUUAUUUUAUUUUUAGUAGGUAGAAUUAUUUUUUUCUCUGUAGCCAUCCAUAUCAUGUCAAAUAUGUUAUAACUUAUAUGAAUUUGAAAUUUUCUUGGGUGAUAGGUUUUUAAGGAGUCAUGUUGGUAGAAGUGCGUAGGUUGGGUUUUUGAUAUUGGCUUGGCUUUAUUCUUAUUUUUACAUAUAACUAGCAUAAACUUAUAGAUUUUUUUUUCAAAGUGGGCAAUUACUUAAGCAUAAAAUGAGCUAGUUACAUGGGAUGUCUAUAGAGAUCUAUUAUGGUAGCCCAAAAACCAGAGUGUACAUUCGUAGUGUGUGCAUUGUUCCUUGUACGAUAAUAUAUUCAUGCUUUCUGCAAAUUGAUUGCCUACUGUGAGUUAUAUUUUAAGUUUAUGUCUCGUUCUAUAUUUCAUGUUCCAUUCAUUUAAUGGAACUUAAAUCAUUUUUCUAAUCCUUGUCAUUUUGUUUCAUGUAAAUUGGGGAGUUAGAGUUUCAUUCGAAACUCGUCUUGACCCAAAGAUCGGGUCAACAACUACUAGGAUCGUCAGUGCUUGGAGUUCAUAUCGUAGGAGUUGGUUCUUUCAAAGGAAUUUAGCAUGUAUCAUCCUCACUUUUCUUUAUGUUUCUUAUUGUUCGAGUUCACUCCAUUUAUUGUGUUUCAUCGAUAUUGGCUCAAGGUUUGAUUGGAUUUAUUUAGCUUAAUAUUUUUCGAAUUGAUUUCCUUUCGCUAAUUUUUCCUCAACUACUUGGCUAAGUACUAAUGGUGUAUCUUUUAAUAAAUUAUUACACACUUAUUCAUGAUACUUUUGGUACGGAAGAGCAAAUCUCUUUUUAGAAUAAAAGAGCAAAUUUUGGUUUUAAUGGCAGGCCUAAGACGAAGAUCCUUUUCGAAUUGAUUCAAGUAGCCAUGCCAUAAUCUUUACUUUUCUUUAAAUAUCAAUUAUUGGUUUUUCUUAUCAUCUUAAUUGGAUUUUCUUCAAAUAAAUUAUUAAAAUAGGUUUCGAUUAGUGCUAAAGCGGUUUGGAAUCCAUAUUUUUUAAAAAUCUAUUUCGAGUUUUCAAAUCUUAAAGUUUCCAAAAUAUACAGCGUAUAUAUGUUCCUAUACUACCAUAUAUAAGGUAUAUUUUUACUAUUACUAUUUACCACUUUUUUUUUUUAUUCAACCAUUAUUAUUAUUAUUAUUAUUAUGUGCAUACAUAUAUGUAUAUAUGUGUAUAUAUAUUUAUGUGUGUGUAUAUGUAUAUAUAUGUGUGUCUGUAUAUAUAUGUAUAUAUAUGUGUGUAUACAUAUACACACACAUGUACAUAUGUGUAUAUUAUAUACAUAUGUACAUAUGUAUAUAUAUAUACACACAUGUACAUAUGUAUAUAUCAUUAUAUAUGUAAUUCUUUUUAGUUCAAAUCUAUGAGAAUUUCACAAAUAAAACUAUAUUUCUUUUUCACAUUUUUUUCACAUGCUUAUGAAUAUACAUAUUUUGUAGAUAUUCUCACGCGCAUAAAAAAAAAAUACCUUAUAUUUCCUCUGUAUUGAUUUUAGUUAUAUACUUACUUUAUAUUUAAAUAAUUUUUCUUAUAGAAUUAUAAGAUUUCAUAGUUUCUAAUAUAUGUAUCAAUCAUAUUACUUUCGUUUUCCAUAUUUGAAAACACAUACAUAAUUUGCAACAAUUAUAUUACUUCCUUGUAUAUGGUAGCGGUACAUAUACCUCGAGUUUUUUUUUCUUAAAAGAAUUACAAAGAUUUCUUAUCACCAUUUCAGCAAACGAUAAAACAAAUACUUUUUUUUUCUUCUUUCUUUAAAUAUUUUUCUAAACCGAGUGUAAGGACUAUCUUCGAAUAGUCUUUGAGGGAUGCUUAAUACCUUUCACUCGAGUAAUCAAAACCCUUACUCAGAAUCUCAAAAUAUUUUCGAUAGACCAAAAUAGAGUUUAACAUAAAAAUGAUUUUCCUAAUUUUCCUAAAAAAUUAGGUGGCGACUCUAAAAAAGAAUUUUCAAAACCCGAGAGUCACCACGACCACCAUAUGUUGUGUGCUAUUUUGAUCGGUUCAAAAUAGGGCGCGCCAGAAUGGCGACUCUGAUGGGGAUGUAUGAACUUAGGUUUUUACCUUAACACGUUUAGUUUAGGAUUUUCAUGCUCUUAUUGUGUUAUUUGCUUUACAUGUGUUAAUAUCUUGCUUUGUGUGAAAGAACGUAGGGCAAAUCCAAACUUGCAUUCCUUAUUGUCUGAAUAACACUAGUUGUUACUGCUUUAUCACUUGCAUUUUUCCUAUCGAGUCUUGGUCGUACACAAUUCACACACUGAACACGGGAGGGAUGUACUUCACUCUUCCGAACCUUCUUCGAAUUCUUUAGUUUCAUAGUAGGUGCAAUUAGGUUAGUGCGCCUUCUCGCAGCUAUUCAGUUUCACUCUCAAGCAUUUAGAAAAAAAAAUCUUACUCUAGAAAUAGGUCAUAUUACAUACACCUUAGGCAGAACGGUUCGCGGCAUAGUUUUCGCAAUUAGGAAACAACAAUUUAUGUCGACGAGUUCUUCAUAAACCUAACAAUACUAUCUGUGUGAAAUAUAAUUAAUUGAUCCAAAUGUUAAGACCGUAACAGAUUCAGGAUAUUAAACUUACCCUCCUUUUCCUUUGCUGAUGAAAAUAAACCAGAAUUUGGAAAACUUCUAAAUGAUGUCCGAUGUUCCAUGGAUCUUAAGGCAUUGACAGGGGAAUAUUCGGGUGGCCCAUAGAGAAGAAGUGAUGGCGCAUUUGGGAUCAAUGAUAGAUUAAUAGAGCUAAGGAUAAACCAGUUGUUCAUUCGAUUGAUGGUCGAAUUCUGGGAUCCGACCACGGUCACUUUCAGAUUCACAGACUUUGAGAUUACACCCAUUUUGGAAGAUAUCAGUCAACUUGCAAACUUGCCAUUGGUAGGGCGGGAACUUUUGACCCCACGGACUACUUCAGGAAGCUCUUUUCUUCGCUCGGUGGGAUUGAGAGUUGGACCAGGUUUAAGGAUGGUCGAGGCAGGCUGGGUAAGCCUAGGAUAUCUUUUUGAGAGGUUUGGUCGGAGAGAAAGCUAUGACUGAUUUCAAAGUGAAUUUUUCUUUUUCAGGAUUGACUGGGAAAGGCACAGAGCCAUCAUCUUCAUGGUGGCAUUCCUGGUAUUUCCAAUUAAAGGGAACUGGAUAAAUAUUAACUUACUUCCGAUGGUUAACUUCAUGUGCAGUGGAUCAGUUAGAGUAACUAUCGUGCCAAUGAUUUUGGCAGAAAUUUUUUGAUCGUUGUCUGCAUGCUCUAUAGGGUACGACUUCUUCAGGGGAUGUAAUCUAAUGCUUCAAGAAUGGGCGUUAGAAUAUUUUUAUCAGAGAAAUAUGCACAAUGGCAUCAGGGAGGCAAUAUGCAACCAAAUUCGUAGCCACACACUCAGGAUGACUAUAUGGGAUAUUCUAAACAAUGUAGAGCAGUGGCUCACCUUCUUGACCCACCUCACUAGCAACCUUAUCCAAUAGAGGCUACAAUGGAUCAACGUCUGGGCAAUGCUGAGGAGGCAUUAUUGUUACCUUCUAGAAUUAAUAGGAUUGGAAGGGAUCCAACUGUAUGCACAAUUGAGGGUUCUCCAACAGUUUGACAUGAUCUAAAAUGUUCCCUUGUAGUCAAAUAUGGCAUUGGCGGAGGGAGACUAUGAAGGGAGAAUCCCUAUCGAAAGACUCAGAACUUGAUCAACGGAUGGGGGAAAAUUUUCAGCUCAGGCAUGUGAGUCAAUCUAUACUAUACCCCAAAAUACUAUACAUGGUAUAUGUCGGGAGGGAUUUUGGCCCGACCAAGCUCUGAAUCACUUUAGGGAAUUGCAGACAUUUAUAGGGCAGAUCAGAUUCAGGACCAGCUACUAUACCUCAUGCCCAUAUCUACUGCUAUAUACCAACAAGUAAUCCCAGGAUUGGUGGACCAUCUUAUUCCUACAGUGGAUAACGAAUUCGAAGAAGAGAUGGAUGAAGAUCUAGAAGAAGACACGGAGGAAGAUCCGAUGGAUGAAAUAGAAGAACAAAAAUGAGAGUUGAUAGAAGAAAUAAAAGAGGAUCCAGAGGAAGAGGAGUAUGGACCGAUAGGAUUUGACGAUGGCGAAGAUGGAGAUCAACAAGGGUGGUAAUUAGAUGGGCCCCAGAAUACCACCUUGGGACUUAUUACGACCUGGAUGAUGAUGACGAUGAUCCCCCUUCCUGGCCUUAGGAUUCAUUUCCUGUCUUUGAUUUCUAAAAGGUCUUGCAUGACCUACUUUGAUGUUUGUAUUUUUAUUUUUAUUUCCCCUAAAAAGGUCUUGCAUGACCUAUGCUGAUAUUUCUAUGGCGAUAUGUCUAUCAUCAUGUAAUCUUAGUUCAAGAAUUUUUCUUUUUGUAACUCGGGGCUUCCAAUUUCCCCCUAAUAUUAAUGAAGUCACAUUCUUCCUGAAUUUGAAUAGUUUAAACUCUGGAUCAAUUAAUCAUACUUGCAUCGUAGUCCCACCUCUGUCAAAUAGAGGCUCCCUGUUAGAACACGUUUUGAAUAUCGCCAACUUGGCUUAUAUAUGUGUUACAUACUUAAUAAAUUUUUGAUAUCCCUCAAACUAACAUGUUUUCCCUCUUUCUUUUCUUUCUUUUUGUUUAUUAAUCCCUAAAAGAAAAAAAAUUUGAUUUGUGUCGACUGGCAAACUGGCUGAAUCCCAAUAUAACCUUCGAUCCAAAGAUAAAAUGACUAACAAGGAUAAGGAUGCGAUGAUACCAGUGGAUGAUGACGAAAGCUCUCAAAGGUUGUCAGACACACAGAACGAUGAGAAGAUUAAUAACAUGGCAUAAGAAAUUGAAGUCUUGAAAGAAGAACUACAUCAAAUACGAGAUCUGACAAAGCUUGCAGUGGCUAGCUUUCCGCUCAAUUCCAGGCUCCAAAUGUUAAAUUACCCUUGAUUGCCCCUGCUAACCCAACGAAUCCACCACAUGCUCAAGUCCCGUUUGCUUCUCAACCCACCACCGAGGCUUCACUCGAUUAUUUAUUUCCUGAUUAUUUAUUUUCUUCUCAUAAAUUCACCAUUCCAGUCCAUCCAACAAUACGGCACAUACCUGAGGUACAUGUCAUUUGUGAGAUACCUGUGCCACCGAUAUAUGCUACCAAAGAUCCUACUAUUACAACAUCUACAUCUGUUAAGUUACCAUAUGAGGUUGAUCGUUAUGCGGGAUUAUGAAAGGAUAUCCAAUCAAAUAAAAAAGGAUCGAUAGUAGCCCAGUGCAAUGCCUUGAGAGUACACUUUGGGCAUCACACGAUGCUUACAAUUUCGAGGGACCACAAGCUAACCUAUAAGCUGGUACCUGCUGUGAACACUGAAUAAUACAAUAAUAUAUGUGGAAGAACAACUGAUAAGCCAUAAGGUUUUAAAUUCUAAAAUAUUUUUGUAUCAUAAAUUUGGAAAUAUCAGCCUAAAAACAACUGUCUGAAGCUGAUAAAAUAAUGAUAAAUUUGGCUAUCUGUCUAAAAUGUCCGAAAGUCUCUAAAACAGACUGAAUAUGAGUUGAUGGGACAAGCCCAAUUAACUCCAACUCAUUACUGAACUGAAAGCAUGAAAGUAAAUAUAGUUUGUCCUUGAAAUAUGAGGACUCACCACUACUACGACUAAUAAUUUGAAAGGUCUAUGCGCGAUCCGGGAACUGAGCGUCCAAACCUAUAAUAUGACACAUUAUAGCACAAGAAAGGAGUAUGUGAUCAGUACUUUGAAUGUACUGGUAUGCUAAAUGAGGUAGCUGAUAUGCAUGGUUUCAUGUGCAUGAAUAAUAACUGACUGAAUAGCAUGAAAUACUGAAUAGAAUGCAUGAAAUUCGUAAAUACUGAAGAUGCGUGAAAUUUGUAACUACUGAGAAUGCGUGACCAAGCAUAAUCAUGUUCUGAUUAUAAUCUAUAAACUGAGAUAUUAAAAUCUAAUAACUAAAUUAUUGAUAUCUGUAUGCUAUGGUCAAGCAACUGAAACUAAAUUACUGAGUUGAUUACUGGACUGAGACUGUGGGAGCUAUCAUCUAACUGACAUGUCUAAUGAGCAAUUUAGGGUCCACCUGUGACCACAGUUGGAAGGGUGUCAAUACCGUGCCACGAGUACUAAUAUUGGUUGUGUGGAUCCACUAAAGUGUUGUCCCAAAGGACUAAGGGUUACCCUCAACUAGAAGGUACUCAUAUGAGAUGGACCCUCAAUUGGUAGGUUAACAUCUCAACCUACGCUGGCUACAUAGUUAUGGAACACGGGGGUUGCUACUAAAGGUCACACCCUCAACUGUCAGGUGAGCCCCCAUCCCUGGGUUCGCUCGAUGCUAAGUCCUACUCCCAACUGAACUGACUCGAAAUACUAAACUGUGCUAAGAUUAACUGAUUUUGAUAACUGGCUGAACUGAUAAUGCUCAUAACAUAUUUUGAAACUAUUUUGAAGAUACUGAGACUAAGUAAACAACUAUGUUUCGGGUAUUCAUAACCUCCAGGACUCGAUAGCAUUAAUAGUAAAAUAGUACUAAAACUAUAAGGACAUAGCAUGAAAACAUUUAUAUCAAAAGUCCAUUCUUGUAGGCAUUUCAUCAAACACGUGAUGUUCAUAGUUCAAGCUAAGCAUGGGAAUAGUUUAAAGCUUAUAGAAAUAGCAUGAUUUCAACAUCAACAUCACUAAGUAUGAUUUAAAUUUGUGAAUAUCAACACUAAAACAUGCGGGGUUUGAUAAAAUAAUAACAAUUUCAUGUAAACAUGGUAUAGAAUUACAAUUCAUGGGAGUUCAUGGUUAAAAUCACAAUUUAAAAUCAUAAUAACUUGUAAAGAUCAUAACUUUGAAUGUAAAAUUGGAUACUUGGGCUCCAUGGGUGAAAGGGAACCAUGAAUCAACACUUAACAUACCUGGGUUGAUGAAUUCAUAAGAAUUAAUGGUGAAUUCUUGAGUUUUGAUCUUGAACUUUGAAGGCUAGAGUUUUUGUUCUUGAAAGAGGGCUACUUUAAUUUGAGUAAUUUGUAAAAUAAUGAGAAAAUAAUGCUCUAUUGGGACUUAAAUCUCGUGUUUGGAUGGAUUUGGAGCUAUGGGAAAAAACCAAACAAUCCCUGAAAUUUAAAUCGCGAAAAUUGGAAAUCCCGAUUUUGACACUCGGCAUGAUGCGGUGCAAUUGCGUCGGGUCACUGGAAAGCUGACAAUCCCUAUUUUGCCCAAUGACGCGAUGCGGUGCCAUUGCGUUGCGCCUUUAGAAAUAGACAACUGCGAACUGGAACCUUGGCGUGACGUGACGCCAUCGCGGUGCCCCACUAGAAAAUGGAUAAUUGUGAAAUGGACCCUUGGCGUGACGCGGUGCCAAUCGUGGUGACACACUGGAAAAUAACGAGCGUGAUAUUGGCCGACACGACCUUAUCGCGGUGGGCUACUGUUUUGCACUAAAAGUGCCAUAACUUCUCACCCGAGUAUCGAAUUUAGGUAAAAUUGGUAUCGAUUGAAAGCUAAUUCAAUUUCCUAUAGCUUGGUGGGUCUUGAGAUGGAAAUUAAUUAGUAAAGUAAAAGAUAUGCUCAUUUGAAGUUGACUAAAGUAAUAUUCCUAUCGAAAAUUCAAUCGAUAAAGAAUAUUUUGAUUCGUCUAAUAGCUAGGAGCUAUUUGAGACCUUAAUAUACAUCAAACUAACUCAUAAAACUAUCAAAGAAUCAUAAUGUACUAUGCGUGAGCUUGAAACAUGGUACUAACAUUGGUUUGGAUUUUUUGGGGUAUUAUACCCAGCUCGAAAGUCUAAAGAGAGUAUUUAGAAACAUGUAAGUCACCAGAGGAACUGAAAGCUUGGACUAUGAUGUCUUAUGCAUUCAUCUAGACAUCGACAUAAUGGUCGAUACAAACCGCUAAAGUUUGAUAUGUUUGAUGGAAAGGGUGACCCGCAUGCACAUCUGAGGGCCUAUUGUGACAAGUUGGUCGGUGUAGGAAGAAAUGAGGAGUUGAGAAUAAAGCCGUUCAUUCGGAGCUUAUUAGGAGAAACUUUGACUUGGUACACUUGAUAAGACCCUUGUAAGUGGCAUGACUGGAGGGAAAUUGAUAAAGGCUUCAUGAGCCGCUUCAGGUUUAACACCGAGAUUACCCCAAAUAGGUUCUCAUUGACUAACUUAUAGAAGAAACCUUCAAAAUCAUUUCAAGAAUAUGCAUGACAUUAGAGGACCGAGGUUGCUAGGGUCCAACAUCCACUGGAUGAAAGCGAGCUCUCCAAGUAUUUUAUUCGAGCUCAAGAGGGUGUUUAUUUUGAUAAGAUGAUGUCAAUGAUUGGCCAAAAGUCUGCAAAAUUAGUCAAGAUGGGGGAUUUCAUAUAAGAAGACAUUAAGUGGGGAAAUAUACAGUCUAUGGUUGCACUGCAAGCUGGAAGUAAGGCCAUACAGUCUGGUUCCAUUGGUGGUAAUAAGAAUAAGAAAGAAGAUGUCUCAGCCAUCACACCAUACUACCAACCUGAAAAUUCUUCCUACCAUUACCCUAACAACCCUCAAACUAUUGCAUACGUUCCAAUGUACAAUACUCAACCACAUUACAAUCCACUUAAAGCUCCAGCAUAGCAAAAUUCACCAAGACCAUAUGCCCCUGUCCAAUCCCCAGAUCACUAAAAUAGACCAGCUUAUGCACCAAGAUCACGUCUAAAUCUCAAAGACAAAAAUACCAGCACCUACACACCAAUUGCUAAACCUUUGGCCCAAUUAUUUAAAAGAUUGAGGGUAGAAGGUUUGUUGAAUCCAGUCGAAGAAAAUAACCCUAACCCAAACUGUCAAACCUUUGAUGGUAACAAGCGAUGCGCUUAUCGCUCAAGAGUCCAGGGACAUGACACAGAAGAGUAUUAUGGUUUGAAGAAUCAAAUUGAGUCUCUAAUCAGGAAAGGAGUAAUCAAAUACACUGUUGCAGCUCCAAAUAAGAACAAUAACCCCUGCCAAAUCAUGAUAAUUGAUAAGUUAACAUGAUUACUCUGGAAGAAGAAUAUGACUUGGAAGAAGCUAUUAUGCAUGCGUGGAACACAAAGAAGUCACCACUAUAUCCGCAUCACAACCUUUUAUCACAGUUCAGUUGAGGGAGCCCAAAACUGUUCAAACUUACCUGCCAAGAGUCGUAGUGGCCACUAUAUACACUGGGAGGCUCGAUUAUGACACUAAAGCAGUCCCAUGGAUUAUCGAUCUGAGGUCAAGGGCAAAAUGAUAGAUGCCGCUGCAGCUCAGGGGAUGACCAGGCCAGAGAAGUGUUAUGCUCCAGAAGAUCUAAAUCGAGGAGUUCUCGAGAAAGAGUAGAACCCAAAGAAGGAUGUUACUGAUGCUGAAGUUGCAGAAUUUUUGAAGAAAAUGCAACCCGAGGAGUUUUCAGUUGAAGAACAGCUAAAGAAGACAAUGGCCCACAUAUCCAUUAUGUCUUUGCUUAUGAGUUUUGAAGCCCAUAAAAAUGCUUUGAUGGAGGUGUUAUGUGGGGUUAGAAUACUGAAAGAAACCACAAGAGAUACUUUGACUGCAAUAAUUGGAUGAAUGGUGGAAGCUAAUAAGGUCUCUUUUCAUGAUGAUGAGCUAUCGUCGGAAGGGGCUGCGCAUAACAAAGCACUUUAUAUCAUAGUCAGAUAUCUCAUGAAAAGAUUGUGAAUAAAGUUCUGGUUGAUGGUGGUUUGGGUUGUAACAUUUGUCCCUUCACCACUGUAAGGGAUUUAGGUGUAAACAUAAAAGAUAUAAGGGAGAGUCGGGUGAAGGUCAGAGCCUUUGAUGGAUUGCAUAGGGGUAUCAUCAGAGAAAUCUACCUGACAUUGCAUAUAGGACUAGCUAAAUUUCCCAUUUUAUUUCAAGUGAUGAAUGUAUCAUCUAGUUACAACCUGUUACUUGAAAGGCCAUAGGUCCACAUGGCAAGAGCCGUUCCUUCCACUCUUUAUCAAUGUGUAAGGUUUGAGUGGGGUCACACAGAAGUUACUGUCCAUGAGGAGCAUAGUCAUCCCAUCUAUUCUUUCAAUUCAGUUCCAGUCACCGAGGAGUUAGAUGGACCCCCUUUCCAUACUCUGGAGAUCAUGCAAGCUGUAAAUACCGAUGAGAAGAUGGACCAAGUUGAAGUAAAAUGUUAAAUGCUGCAUAAAUAGUUGCGUUAGAGAUGCUGAAAUAUAAGUAUCAACCCAAGAUAGGAUUACAACCAAAAGCUGAUGUUAUAAUUAAGCCAAUUCAGCUGAAAUAUCAGAGAGGUACUACAGGGCUUGGAUAUAAGACCGCUUCUGGAGGAGUCUGCUGUGAAGGAUCAGGAGUGACGAUGUUCGUGCCAGCCCAAGUCCUAAUUUCAAAAGAAGCAGUUAACCCAAAAGACGUUUAGGAGUCGGUCCAGCCGAGUCACGUGUUUCCCGUUCAGCCAAUUGCAUUUUAAGAGCAUAUUAACUAUCAUUAUUCAAGUUCAAAAUUUAGUACUUCUUAGUUUUGUGCUUAAUAAAUAAGAUAAGUGGUCAGGAGUCUCCUAAAAUUGGUCUUGAAUUCAUAUUUCUACAUGAACGAGUGUUGUCCUUUGGAGUUCCUAUUUUCCGCAAUUUGUAAGAUUCUAUGUUUGGGUCUAGAGCUCUUUAUUUUAUUUUUAGAAGCUACAAUUAUUUGUUUCUCUAUAUCCAUCCAUAUUAUGUCAAAUAUGUUGUAUAUAACUAAUAUGGAUUUGGAAUUUUCAUGGGUGAUAGAUUUUAAGGAGUCAUGUUGGUGGAGGUGCGUCGGUUGGGUUUUUGAUAAUGGCUUAGUUUUAUUAUUAUUUUUACAUAUAACUAGUAUAAAAUUAUAGAUUUUUUUCAAAGUGGGCAAUUAUUUUAGCAUAAAAUGAGCUAUUUACAUGAGAUGUCUAUUGAGAGCCAUUAUGGUAGCCUAAAAUCCAGUGUACAUUCGUAGUGUGUGCAUUGUUCCUUGUACGAUAAUAUAUAUUCAUGCUUUCUGCAAAAUGAUUGCCUAUUGUGAGUUAUAUUUUAAGUUUAUGUCUCAUGCUAUAUUUCUUGUUCCAUUCAUUUAAUGGAACUUAAAUCAUUUUUUUAAUCCUUAUCAUUUUUUGUUUCAUGUAAAUUAACUCGUCUUGACCCAAAGAUCGGGUCAACAACUACUAGGAUCGUCAAUGCUUGGAGUUCAUAUCUAGGAGUUAGCUCUUUCAAAGGAAUUUAGCAUAUAUCAUCCUCACUUUUCUUUAUGUUUCUUGUUGUUCGGAUUCACUCCAUUUAUUGUGUUAUUUGGAUAAGCAAAUUUCAUGUUGCUUUCAUCGAUAUUGGCUUAAGGUUUGAUUGGAUUUAUUUAGCUUAAAAUUUUUCAAAUUGAUUUCCUUUCGCUAAUUUUUCCUGAACUACUUGGCUAAAGUACUAAUGGUGUAUCUUUUAAUAAAUUAUGACACACUUAUUCAUGAUACUUUUGGUACAGAGCAAAUCUCUUUUUAGAAUAGAAGAGCAAAUUUUGGUUCUAACGGCAGUCCUAAGACAAAGAUCCUAUUUUUUUUUCGAAUUGAUUCAAGUAGCUAUGCCAUAAUAUCUACUUUUCUUUAAAUACCAAUUAUUGAUUUUUCUUAUCAUCUUAAUAUGAUCUUCAAGUAAAUUACUAAAAUAGGCUUCGAUUAGUGCUAAUGCGGUUUAAAAUCCUUAUUUAUUUUUUAACUAUAUUUCGAUUUACAUUUUUACUAUUACUAUUUACCACUUUUUUUAUUUUUUUAUUUAACCAUUUAUAUAUAUAUAUAUGUAUGUAUAUAUAUAUAUAUAUAUAUGUAUGUAUAUAUGACUUGACAAGAGAGUUUUAUGCCAACUGGUCGCCAAACACAACAGGCAACGAAGUCAAAAUUCGGGGCCAAGUGUUACAGCUUACAGCGGAUUGGAUCAACUCGUUUCUAGGCCUACCUUCGGUCGACACUGCACCAUACAAAGAGCUGUACAGCAGACCUCCUUACAGAGCUAUAAGACACACGCUUUGUGGAAGCAGAUCGAUGGCGAGAUGGGGCAGACAUAAGGAAACAGGCCGUCACAACACAUUCCCCUAUGCUCCACUAAAUAGGGAAGCAAGAAUCUGGAUGCGCAUUGUCAACUCAUGCCUCAUUCCUGGGACGCAAUACACAAAGAUAUCGAGAGAUAGAGUGUGCCUGGUUUAUUCAUUAAUGACGAAUGUCCCUAUCAACUUUGGGGCAAUCAUUCGAUCCACCAUGAGGAAAGCCAGACUGAUGUGAAUGUGAAUGGUCCUAUUUCACAUUCGGCAAUUUGUUGACAGCAAUGUUGCGGAAGGAGGAUAUAGAGGAGGAACCAGCUGACCACAAACUCCCACAUACCCCAAAGAAGGUUGACCUCACCAAGGUCAAAGAUGCUGAAACAACGCAUGGAGUCAACCUUACCACUGCGGAGAGACAUGCUCGUGACGAGAGUUUCUUCCGUCAUCUCUAUGGCAUGACGAGAUUCACUAUGAUGAGUGGUGGACGUAUUCCAACUGCUGAAGAGCUCCAACAGCUGGACCACGACUACCCAAUGAACAGACAUGCCCGGGAGAUGUGUGGAGUGGGAGUAUAUUUCGAGGAACCUCUUGAUGAUGACGUGCCAACUGAUGAUGAUAGACGCUUGCCUGAUUCUGAUGCUGAGGAGAACUCUGACGAUGACUCUUACGAUGACUCGAACGAAGGGGGUAUGACAUUGAGGAAGAGUCCGACUAAUCAGGUUCUUCGACUUUAUUUUCCACUGAGGGCAGUGUCUAGUCUAAGUGUGGGGUGUCGGCAGAAUCUGCAUGCUAUAUUUGUAUGUUUGCUUGUUUAUUUUGUUUUAUUUAUUUUGUUUUGAGUCCGAUUUUUUUUUGUGAUUUUUUUCGUGUGACGUUUUUUUUUUAGUUUUUAGUAGUUAAAAUUUUUCUAGCCUCGCAUGAAAUUAUUUUAAUAGGCAGCAUGAGAUUAUAACAAUAGUAUGUAUUACAAUUGUGACUAUUGAGACAUUUAGGCUCUAGUUGUGACUCAUUAUGUGAUAGUGUGUGAUUCAAUUCCUUCACUUGUUGGGUUGAGAGUCUAUAUUGCUACCAAUCAAGUCGACCAUGUGCCUUGUGUGUGUGAGAUAAUAGUAUAUUCUAUGUAUGUGGCUGAUGCUAGAACUUGCCUGGUAUGUAUGCAAAGCGAAAAUAAGGAGUGUAAGUUUAGGAUAUGAUUUAGGCAUUUCUUUGGCAACCUAUAUUUGUUUACCUUCAGUUUUACCUACCCAUGGACAUCAUCCUAGUUAAACCCUUUUGAGCCUUUAGCCUAUUUCUUUGACAACCUUGUAUGUAAGCCUAAUUCAUUUUUUUUUCAAGACCGUAAUUUGAUCCAAAUUCCUAAGUGCUUUAAAGUGAAAAAGUCAUGUGACAACAUAAGAGGAAAUUGGUUGAGUAUGAUGCUUUAAAUUGUAAUGGUGCUUGAAUAUGUUAUGAAAAAGAAAGUGCUAUCAUAAGAGGUAUGUUGUGAGAAGAAAAAGGAAAAGAAAGCUGAAAAGUGAGUUGUGCUUUAAAAUUGAAAAACAAAAGAGGAGAACAAGGGUGCUACAAAAAAGUGUCAAUAAUACAAUGUGAUGUAUUAAAGUGCUUAGGAACUUAGUCACUAUUUCUGGCCAAAAUAGUUGAUCCUACCCGUCCCUUAGCCUACAUUACAACCAUCAAAAGACCUACUUGAUCCUAACCUUAACAUUCCGACAUUUAGUGGAGUACUACAUUAAGGGCAAGCCUAUGGUCAUUAGCUGCUACAUAUGAAUUCUUUGUGAGAGUGAGCGCAAGGAUACUUUGCUGCCCAUGUUUGAAAAAUAUGCUAUACUUGUGAGUGAUUAUGGGUACUAUAUUGUGAGACACACAUGGUUGAUGAGUUUUGGAUAGUUGUAUAUGAUUCUAUGUACCUUAAACGUUUGCAUGCGAGUUGAUCACCAUCACGAGUCUAUGCUUGAGGUUAAAUUGUUUCUACUUAUAAUCGGAAAGCUACUCUUCGUUGAUAAUUGUUGUGCUUGUCUUGAAGAAUGUUUUGUGUUGUUUCUGUAAAAACCUUAAGUCAAUGCUUAGAAGGACAUGAUAUGUUGUUCGAGGACGAACAAAGCUCUAAGUGUGGGGUGUUGAUGAUAGGCGAAAUUACGCGCCUAUAUCAAUAUAUUUUGCCCAUAUUUUAGCCUAGUUUCGAGAACUAAUUAUCUAUUUCGUACACUUUUAGUCCUUUUUCCUGUAAAUGAGCUAACAAAUGUGAUUAGGAAAGUUUCAGGUAUAAAUGAUGCAAAAUACAGCAAUUUAUGGCUUACUUGACGCAAAAGAAAGCUCACAAACGAGAUGGAAAGGAGCUGGACGCAUAAAGGACUAAAUCUGCUGCAUGGAAAAUCUGUCCCGGGCUAAAACAGCAUUUCUGAAGACUUUGGGACUUACAGACACAAAGCUGGAUUUUUGCCAUAAUACAUUAACCUAGUGCAAUUAGGUUAUGUGUUUCAUCAUUCUAUUUGGAUUAUAAUUUUGUAACCUUACCCUAGUACAAUUGGGUCAAGGAUUUCAUUAGUAUAUUAGGAUUUGGUUAUUUAUUUUAUUAGUUUAGUAGGAGUAGGAUAGGAGUAUUAUAAAUACCCUAUCAUGUUAGAGAUUUUCAAGAAGGGAGACAUUCUGACAAUUCAUUCAUCUCCUUACAAUUAAGACAUCUUCCUACAACCCAUUCUCAAUUCUUCAUUCUUCUACUCUUAAAUUCCACAACAAGAGAAUCGUUACUUGCUACGGAAUCACUAAAACCACACGCCAAACACCUACUAUUCACGCCAUCCACCAUGCAAAGCGUGAUAUCCUUCGCAUUCAUGGGUAACUAAAUCUCUUAGUUGGGGUUAUGGAAGCCGAAUGAGUUACUAUCUAUAGCUAUGAGUUUGUGAGUUCAAGACAAGUAUAUUGCUUAUAUCAUUAUUCUCUUCAUCUUAAAUCUACAUUCUUUGCGGUUCAAACACAAGAACACGCCAUUCUAACAUCUAACCUGUUCGAGAGAAAGGUUAUUUGUCUAGAAAAGAAGACGCAUAGACCAACGCCAGUCUAACAUCUGACUUGUUCGAGAGAAAAGUUAUUUGUCUGGAAAAGAGAUAAUGUCAAGGUAGUAGGACACCCUUUCCUAUUAAAAAGCUAGUGCCGUACCUGGACUAACUUCUUGGAGAAUUCGUACCGUUAGUCACGCUUUAAGCUCGAGAGAGUUAAAGUGAAAUAGUCCUUGUUUAGGUCGAGAGACGCUUGGAUUUACCAUCGACUACAAUUCUCUAUAAGCAAUUACAUGUCAAGACUCUACACACUCAUAGCCAAUAGAGACGUAUACCUCAGAAGGUGGACAUAACCCCAACGCCUCAAUUCUCAUUGUUUACAACACACGUGACAAUCUCUCUUUAUUUUGCUAUUUUCAGUUCUUACAUUCUUGUUUUGGUUACAUACUACAAUCCCCCCUUUCCUACGAGACUUGCACUAAAAGUCUAGUAAUUUCUCUUGCUUGUUGGCCAAGCUAUUCUCUGUGGGAUCGAUACCCAACCCAGGUUGGGUUCUAUAUUUGCUAACGACCGCUUUACACUCCCACGAGAGCUGUAGAUUGAGCGUUAUCACUAGUUCUAUUAUUAUUUCGCUUGGGACAUACGUUGGCUAGAUGGUCUAUACUGCCACACGUAUAACAUUCUAGUUUGUUUUUAUAAUUUCUAUCGUUUCUAUAUUUUCUAACAUGUCGCUCUCUAUUUAGCCAAGGUUUUUUAGCCUUUGACUUUCUUAAGAAAUAUUGUUUUUUAUUAUAUGGUUUCUGAUUAUUUCUUUUCUUAUACCUUCUAUGUUGUUUCUGAUCAUAAUUUUGAGUUGUGUAUAUAACAGAUUUACAGAAAUUCAUUUCAUUUCUUUUCAAUUGUUUUUGUAUUUGUAUGUUUGUACAUUUUUCUGUUAAUAUAUCCAUUAUAUGUUGUGUUCUAUGUCCUAUCGUCCAUUUUAAAUUUGGGUUAGCAACUACCCCAUCUCUCUUAUACCAUCUAUCCUCUAUUUCUCUUCCUAAAGCUCCUGGUAGUUUAUUAAAUAAUUUUUUGCCUAGUUCUUCAUUAAAUGUAUUUCCACUGACAGUACAAUAAUAAAAAUAGUCUUGUAAGAAUUUCUUUAUAUACACCCAAUGAGAAAUACUUAAUUGUUCCAGUUUUAUUAAUGCUUCUUUUUGUAGAGCUAAUAAUCCACUAUUCGGAUCUUUUCCUGUUAAUAACAUAUGCAUUUUAUUUGUAAAAUUAUAUGGAUUUGGUCCCAUACUUAAUAGAACCUGGAAAUCAUAUGGGCAGUUUGUCUUAAAACUCUCCCAUGUAGCUUUGGCAGAUUCUCCUAAAAAAGUUUCUAAAUAUUUAUACAUUGUUUCUGUAUCUGUUUCUGUAUAAUGUCGUAAGUAAUCUGCAGCUACGAUUCCCUUCCAUAAGUCUAUUACUGUAUCCCACAUUUGGGGAUCAUGUGCUGCUAUAUUUAGAAUUUUACCUUUACUACCUCCUUCUUGUAAUUUAAUUGGUUCCUCUAUUGGCAUUCUUUUUCCUGCUGGUUUUAUAUGAUCUCCCCUAAGUUCUGUAUCAGGGUUUAUCCGAAUUGCUGGUCUUCUAGGUACAUUACCUGUACUAUAAUCUAUUGGUUGAGGAUUAGGGUUUGUUUGUUGGAAUGGGCUAGCACUCGAGGAGCUAGUUGGUUCUAAUUCUGCUAAUUCUUUAUAACUAAUAGUAGAACUUAAUAUAGAAAUGGUGUCUUCGUCUCUUCUUUCGAGACCUGUUUUGUUAUUUCUAUAUCCUAAAUUAUCGUUUCUUUCUAAGCAGUUUUUGAAAUGUUCUACACAUUCUUCAAUUUUCAUAUCAGCUUUUUGACAUACCAAAAUAGUCGGAUUUUUCAAUUAAGUAAUGAUAUGUCAAUAAUAACCAAUAUAAAAUGACGAAAGAUAAAAACAGGCAGGUUGAAUAGUAAAAAUAGUAUACCAAAAUAGUCGGAUUUUUCAGUAAAAAUUUAUUAACUUUUGAGUGAAUCAGUGUGUAAAAUCCUACUCAGUACUCCCUCUUUCCUAUUGUUUCUUCAUGUUUAUCAUUCGUAUUUUCCCUAGAGUUUUUUUUUUUUUUUUUUUUUUUUUUUUUUUUUUUUUUUUUUUUUUUUUUUUACCCUGUUCAUCUCUUCCUCUUAAUCUAUGCUCUUAACGUCAUACUUCUUUAACCACACCCCGGAAAAUUUGUAUCUGGCAGCUAACACUCGUCCGUUGUCUUAUAGGCAGACUGUUUUGGACUAUCAAGGCCAGAAUUCCUAGGAAUUUACAGGUUAAUCCAUCGUUGAUGCUAAGAAAUUAAGAGACUAACCAUAUACUAAGGGUAAGAAUUUUAAGUCAAUUUACAUGGUUAUGUAGAAACAUAAUUUACAUAAUUAUGCAGAAACAUAAAAAUAAACAGAAAUAUUUUUGUGGGGAAAUAUAAGAACUUACAUGAAGUAACUAGGAGAGAGGUUUCCCUUUUGGGAACCCCCUAAAGUUUCGAAGAGAAAAACUUCAAGCUUUAUUGAUAUCACGAUGUUACAAAGUUUAUAUGAAAAAUACUGGGUUAGACCGGUUGUUUGGGAGAAAGGUGUGAAACAUUACAAGGAGAUGUGGAGUUGGUUGAUUUCACUCUGGUCUUCUACUACAAGAAUAUGUGCCUUUUAUAGGCAAAAAUCUACAUAAAGGAGUGGUUGUGAAAACUGCUACGUGGCCGAAAUAUAAUUGGCCGACACUUUUUGAUAAAGGAUAAGAAAGAAAACUUUAAUAAUGCAAGUCGGGUACGCAUUGGGCCCCAUCGUCACAUGCGUUAUUAAUAUUCUUUCGUACCUUUGUAGACGCGUGCUUCAACAGUUUUUCUUUCUUUUUAGAAAGUAGUGAUAAAGGAAGCACUCAGACUGACACGGACUAUUACAAGACAUAAAGUGGGCAUCCCCACUUGACCAUACUAUCUAAUAAUACAAACUAGGAUAACUGUAGAGUCUGUGUUGAAUAUCUUUACGUAUCCAAGUUGUGCAGGGCUAUGGAGUCGAAACUCAUGCCUGAGUCGUCGUCUUCAUAUGGAUCCUGGGCAUCCUGGAAUUGUGCUAUGCUAUCUUCGAAUUGCGCUAUGCUGUCUUCUUCGUCUGUUCUGGCAGAAUUAUUCUCUGUAUUAUUUAUUGCUGGCAUUGCGUUGUCUGGUUGUUCGUCUGAUAGUUCAUUUAUAUAUUUGUCUUGAGGUUGGUUUCUAAAAAAUCUAUCUAGUGUUUGUUUAAUUAUAGUCUCUAUUGUCUCAUUUUUUCUUCUGGAUAUUAAAGUCUUUUUUGAUGUCUUAGGUUUUAGCUUGAUUUUUGAUGAAGAGCAACCUUCAUCUUCACUUUUUGGCAAAGUGAC
rnacentral:lncRNA from 1 species